rnacentral:lncRNA from 1 species
GGUUGCUUCAUCACUCAGCUUUGUUUCUAGCCUUGCUGCCCUACACUUAAUGGAAAGGGAUAAAAGAUAGAAGUGCUUCAACAAAGGGACCACAAGAUGGUCAAAGCUUCAAAGCACUGCCAUAAUACCAUCCUGGAUGAGAGUGGUAAUAUACCAAACAGCAGUUCUUCAACAACAUUUGAAAGUUUAUUCUCCAUCUCAAAAGCAAAUUAGACAGAGGUACUUUCUCCCUCUCAAAUAUGAAAAACACUGUGAAAAGAGUGAUGGUCAGUCUGUUCCAUUUCUCCAACUCAGCCAUUCACUCAUUUAG